UCCCUGGUGGCUCAGUGGGUUAAAGAUGCAGCAUUGCCACUGCUGUGGCUCAGGUCAAUUCUGUGGUGCAGGUUCAAUUCCUGGCCCGGGAA
rnacentral:tRNA from 1 species